UACGUAGGGUCCGAGCGUUGUCCGGAAUUACUGGGCGUAAAGAGCUCGUAGGUGGUUUGUCGCGUUGUCCGUGAAAACUCACAGCUCAACUGUGGGCGUGCGGGCGAUACGGGCAGACUGGAGUACUGCAGGGGAGACUGGAAUUCCUGGUGUAGCGGUGGAAUGCGCAGAUAUCAGGAGGAACACCGGUGGCGAAGGCGGGGUCUCUGGGCAGUAACUGACGCUGGAGGAGCGGAAAGCCGUGGGGAGCGAACAGG
rnacentral:rRNA from 1 species